CUUCAAUGGAAUUAUUUCGGAAUGCUGUUUCGCCGGCUGGUAUACACAGAGUGAAAUCGAAAGCAUUUGCUGUGUUGAUUGAUGGUGUUCAUACUGACAUAGUGCUGAUAGACUACAUUUCUUUGUGACAGCAGCAGCUGGUGACAUGGAACACACACACUCUGAAAAGAAACAAGCUCUUCGUCGUAUUGACACAGUACAAGAAGUUGGGAUCAUUCAUUACUGUGUGUAAGGAGGCAUCUCGGACAAUUAAUGGUGUAUCAGAUGUUUACCAUGUUCGGACCAUUCAGGGUUGUGAAAAUGAA